rnacentral:lncRNA from 1 species
AAAAUGAACACCAAACUUUAUAUUAUUUUUCUUGGUUUGAUACUCAACCAAGUAUUUGGUUAAAACCAAGAUUUUUAGGUGUAUCAGGAGUGGGAAAGAAAUUAGACUUGAAAUAAUAAGGAAAAUUUAGACCCUGGUCCAUACAAAGACUAUGGACAGUGUUGGUUUUUUGGCUUGUUGUUGUUUUUAAUAGAAUUGUGAUAAAAAUGUAGCUACAAAGCCCUGAACUUUCAGAGUCCAGCCAUAGGAAUGGCAUCACUUGAGUCUUAAACAGUAAACACCUGUAGCACACAGGGUGACCCAACUACUCCUUUGGCAUUGCCAUGGCUAGAUUUACUCCCUUUGCCUCCCUUGCCAGGUCCUUGUUCCUCCCUAGUCCUUUUCCAUCUCCUCUACUUUGCCAGACACUCUAAAUCCUAAAAAGAAAACUAAGUGAUAUAAAAUAUUCUUAAAGUUUUAUCCUUACCUCCUUAAAAGGACAAAUUCUGUGUCCAAAAUUUUUCCUAUCUGGAUGAUAUAUUUGUUUAGUUUAAGGUGACAGCUGUCUACUGUACAGUUAGUCUGAGCUAGGUAUUGUAGAGCAAUAACAUAAACAAAGCUCCUGCCCUCAGAGAUCAUGGUGCUGUUUGGCUUUUGUAGUCUCCACCCAGCACAUGCACAUAAUACUGAGGAUGGAGUCCAUGGAUUCUCCAUGCUAGGCAGGCAAGCACCUUGUCCACUUGUAUUUGUUGUGUUUAUUCAUUGUAAGAAAUUACCUGGUAGAGGCAGUUAAGGGCUUAUAGUUUCAGGAGUUUUUACUCCUCAGUGAUGAGAAUAACAUAGCUUAGCUCCUAGACAUAGUGCAAGCUGGAGGAGCCAUUCUCAUGGCAGUAAAGAGAGAAGUAAGACUAACCCCUAGUGGCUCUGCCAGCCAGGCUCCACUCUCUCAAAGUGUCACCAGCUGAGGACCACUAUUCAGAUAUACAAGCCUGUCAUGGACAUUCCACACUUGAACCCCAGCUCAAGAUGAUAACAUAAUGGUAGAAUGUUCUGAAAUAAUUACUCAUACAGUUCUAUGUGGAACAUUCUUGCCACAUCUAGAUAGCAUCUGUCUGCCCAAACAUACAUAUGUUCCCACCUAGUGAGGCUAAGCUACAUAGAACCAGGUGGUCCUGCUGUGUACUGUAUAGUAGGCAUAGAAAUCCAAGGUGAGGAAGACAGAAGAGUUGAGCUUCGAGGCCUCUACAUGAUUUAGACCAGCUCUGUCUCAGCAACUUUGGCACUCUGUGUUUUAUGUAUAGGCUUCUUCAUAAAAUUCUUUUGAAGAAAACAAAAAAAAUCAGGUCUGGAAGUGACUUUUAAAUCAGUGUUCUUAUACAUCAACAAAGCAUUUAGGUGUUAUGUGGGCAUCUAAGAGCAAUGAGAAAUAACCUUCCUCCUUUGAAACAUCAGUGCUGGAAUAGCUAUAGGCAAGCUUGAAAAGGGAAAGAUUUGUUAAACUCUUGUCUUACAAGAGAAGGAUCCUCAGAAGGAGUGUGGGAUACUGUCAGACAAGCUUGAUAGGGCAGAUUGCACUGCAAACUGCAACUACAGCCCAGCCAGCAAAGAAUCAAAACUUCAGAAAAGAUUUCUAAGCAACAUGAGGCAAAGCCCAUGCCAACCAUAUUGGUGUGGAUCCCCUGUGCCUCAGCGGGCUCCAUGUUUACUCUCAGUCUGUCAGGUCCACUUGUAAAGUGAUCUGUUUCAGUCUGAGCAUCUGAGAUGCCUGCGACAUGUGAAAGGUAAACUAAAAACAUAGGUAAAUAAAAACAGAAAAUAAGCUCUGUGAAAUGGAGAAUCUAAUACCCAUGCAAGGGCUGGCUGUGGUAGUUCACCUCAGUAAAGCCUAGCAUUUGGCUUCAGACAGAAGAAUCUAGAGUUCAGGACUAACCAGGGCUAUAUCAGACUCAUCUCC